AGAGUUUGAUCCUGGCUCAGGAUGAACGCUAACGGCAGGCCUAACACAUGCAAGUCGAGGGGUAACAGGAAAGCUUGCUUUUGCUGACGACCGGCGCACGGGUGCGUAACGCGUAUGCAACCUACCUCAUACUGGAGGAUAGCCCUUGGAAACGAGGAUUAAUACUCCAUGGUAUCAUGAAUUCGCAUGUUUUUGUGAUUAAAGUUUUUCGGUAUGAGAUGGGCAUGCGUCCCAUUAGCUUGUUGGUGAGGUAACGGCUCACCAAGGCAACGAUGGGUAGGGGGCCUGAGAGGGUGGUCCCCCACACUGGUACUGAGACACGGACCAGACUCCUACGGGAGGCAGCAGUGAGGAAUAUUGGACAAUGAGCGAAAGCUUGAUGCAGCCAUACCGCGUGUGUGAAGAAGGCCCGAGGGUUGUAAAGCACUUUCAAUUGUGAGGAAGGUAGUAUAACUAAUACUUAUAUUGCUUGACGUUAACUUUAGAAGAAGCACCGGCUAACCCUGUGCCAGCAGCCGCGGUAAUACAGAGGGUGCAAGCGUUAUUCGGAAUU
rnacentral:rRNA from 1 species